GACGAACGCUGGCGGCGUGCUUAACACAUGCAAGUCGAACGGAAAGGCCUGCUUUCCCUUGUGGAUUGCGGGUACUCGAGUGGCGAACGGGUGAGUAACACGUGAGUGAUCUGCCCCCAACUUGGGUAUAAGCCUGGGAAACUGGGUCUAAUUCCCGAUAGGACUGCAGGGUGGUGCCUGUGGUGGAAAACGAUUUUCUAGUGGUUGGGGAUGAGCUCGCGGCCUAUCAGCUUGUUGGUGGGGUAAUGGCCUACCAAGGCGGCGACGGGUAGCCGGCCUGAGAGGGUGGACGGCAACAUUGGGACCGAGAUACGGCCCAGACUCCUACGGGAGGCAGCAGUGGGGAAUAUUGCACAAUGGGCGGAAGCCUGAUGCAGCGACGCCGCGUGGGGGAUGACGGCCUUCGGGUUGUAAACUCCUUUCGACCGCGAGGAAGCCACCUGGUUGGAAGGGUGGUGACGGUAGUGGUAGAAGAAGCACCGGCUAACUACGUG
rnacentral:rRNA from 1 species